rnacentral:rRNA from 1 species
GAUGAACGCUGGCUACAGGCUUAACACAUGCAAGUCGAGGGGAAACGACGGGGAAGCUUGCUUCCCCGGGCGUCGACCGGCGCACGGGUGAGUAACGCGUAUCCAACCUGCCUCUGACUGAGGGAUAACCCGUCGAAAGUCGGCCUAAUACCUCAUGGCAUCGUCUGCGGGCAUCCAACGACGAUUAAAGAUUUCAUCGGUCAGGGAUGGGGAUGCGUCUGAUUAGCUUGUUGGCGGGGUAACGGCCCACCAAGGCUACGAUCAGUAGGGGUUCUGAGAGGAAGGUCCCCCACAUUGGAACUGAGACACGGUCCAAACUCCUACGGGAGGCAGCAGUGAGGAAGAUUGGUCAAUAGGCGGGAGCCUGAACCAGCCAAGUAGCGUGCAGGAUGACGGCCCUAUGGGUGGUAAACUGCUUUUAUGCGGGGAUAAAGUGAGGGACGUGUCCUUCAUUGCAGGUACCGCAUGAAUAAGGACCGGCUAAUUCCGUG